rnacentral:rRNA from 1 species
AGUGAACGCUGGCGGUAUGCCUAACACAUGCCAGUCGAACGGCAGCACAGUAAGAGCUUGCUCUUACGGGUGGCGAGUGGCGGACAGGUGAGGAAUACAUCGGAAUCUACUUUUUCGUGGGGGAUAACGUAGGGAAACUUACGCUAAUACCGCAUACGACCUACGGGUGAAAGCAGGGGAUCUUCGGACCUUGCGCGAUUGAAUGAGCCGAUGUCGGAUUAGCUAGUUGGCGGGGUAAAGGCCCACCAAGGCGACGAUCCGUAGCUGGUCUGAGAGGAUGAUCAGCCACACUGGAACUGAGACACGGUCCAGACUCCUACGGGAGGCAGCAGUGGGGAAUAUUGGACAAUGGGCGCAAGCCUGAUCCAGCCAUACCGCGUGGGUGAAGAAGGCCUUCGGGUUGUAAAGCCCUUUUGUUGGGAAAGAAAAGCAGCAGGUUAAUACCCCGCUGUUCUGACGGUACCCAAAGAAUAAGCACCGGCUAACUUCGUG